GCCCAACAUCUAGCCUAAAUUCACCCCAUGUUUUACACUAUAUAUAUGUACAGAAUAAAACAUUUUACUUUCUAAGUAGAGGCGAUCGAAAAAUACUUAAGCGCUUAAGAAACAGUACCGCAAGGGAAAGAUGAAACAAAAAUGAAAUAACUUUAAGCCGCCACA
rnacentral:rRNA from 1 species